rnacentral:lncRNA from 1 species
GUUAAGCAUCUUCUAAACUUUUACUCUUAAACGGAUUAGAAUAUGAUGUACUUUUUUGAGUACAAAAAUCAUUUAUUCAUGAUUCAGUGUAUUACUGUGUUUCUAGUAAUAUGAUGUCGUUUUAAAUUGUGGCUUAGAAUGAAUAUAAUAAUUACCAAUGAAGAUAAAUAACUUCUUUUAAGUGCUGUGAUUGAUUCAUCGUAUCCAACAAGGACGGAGAACAAGACGAGUUUGAACUUGUGAGAAUCCUCGAAGAAUCACACCUAAGAAUUUAAGUCCAUAACAAUAGGUACAAGAGCUGUUUAAAAUGUCAUUUGAUCAAUUUCUGAUUGAAGAAAUUUGGCUUUUCAUAUAGUAUUAUAUUCAAUGGAAGUUCAUAUGUGGUGCCCGACUCUAUUUUAAGAAAAAUCAUUCUUGAAUACUUUGGUUGAUGGGCCACAAAUUUCACAUUUUUGGAUUAUUUCUGGAAGUAAACAUAAAAAGUGAAGACUAAACUACGGUAAUAUUUAAGUUUUUUAACCCAUAUUAUGAUAUAUGUUCAAUAUAUAGAACAAAUUGAAUUGAUUAUCCUCUUAAAUGAAUUUUAAUUGCUAUAGCUUUGAUUACAUACCGACCCUAUGAGGAAUUCUCAACAAACAACACAUCAAAGUUUAGUUUGUUUAAUAUUUAUCUCAUCAUUUUUAUGACUUUUCAUUCAUUUUUUGAAGGAUUUUUGUCUGUCGAUAUUUGGAAAAUAAAUAUGCAAUUAAAAUUCAUGAUGAGUAUUUAUUUUUAAAAAAUUAUUCUUUUCACAGAAUAUAAAAAUUUCUUAAAUGCUGAUCAAUGGAAUAUACAGAAUAAUGAGGAACUUCGAAUAUUAUACUGUUUGUUUCUGGAACUUCUUUGAAAUAGAUAAGUCUUGAUUAGUAAAAUAUCACUUAAACAUAAUUUUUAUAAUUGUGAAAUUAUUCUUUUCUUUCCCUGUAACUUUCUGUUAAAUAUUUGAUGACGAGGUCUGAUAUUAUUCAUGUACCUAGUAUCUCGUAUUAAUUUUAUAACAUGGAUUGGAAAAAUCUAAUCUAAUCUGAGCUUAGAUAAAUUCUCCGGGAUAUAACUGGUCUGGAGUCAGGUUUUGAAAUAAAAAAGAAGAUGGAGCUCUUGGCUACUUAGAGGAAUUCAAUCCAAAAACUUCUUACUUGAUAUCUAUACAGCUAUGGAGAACAAUUGGAAGCACAUCAACCUUCUGCAAUUUGUUUGUAGAGGACAGAGAUGGUAUUUUUGGUUGAACGAAUUUAAAAUCUACAUUUUUUCGUUCUGUGAGUUGUCUCCUGAGCGAAAUGUUCUGGGGUUCCUGUGCUGAGACGGGAGUCCAGCAGUUGUUAAAGACCUGGGAACUGGGUGUGAUACCCAAGGGAAGUACUUUUAUUUCGACCUUCAAAAUUAUUUUAUACACCUUCUCUCCUACUGAGCCUAUUUUAUUGGAGCAAUUCUGGCUCUUGGAAUUAAAGCAAAGCAUUGGAGAGCUUAUCAAUAUUUAAGUUAUCCGCUUGCAAGAUCUAAAUCAAAUCAAACCAUACUUAUUACAAAAUUGUACAAGGAUAUUAACUUGUUAUGUUCCCAUUCGUGUCUUACUUUUGAGGAUCGUCAACGUAUUAUGAACAACGGGUCCAUAGUGAAGGCAAUCACUCCAACCAACAAUCUCCAGCUUCAACCACAGCGUCCAACCGGGCACAGGACUUGAUGAUGAACUCAUGGUCCAUGUUGGCCACCGCCUCGAGAACGGAAGCCUGCAAAGAGUCAACAGUGUUACGAGCAUGUUUAUUAUACUCUCUCUCCAAAACACCCUACACGUAUUAGUACAAGAGAUUCAGUCUAGCGAUCUAGGAGGCCAUAUUUCCUAUGCUCAUUUUGCUUCAGGACAUCUGGAGUGAGUUUUUUGCUCUCACAACACGAGUCUUCCUUCCUGGUGUUCCCGAGACAUUAGACUCUUUGGAAGCCUCAGUAACAUCUUAAAAAGUUUAAUUUGGGUAUCUUCGUAAACUCAAAACUCUCAUUGGGCGUGCGCCCGGCACCAAGGGACACAAUAAUGGCCGCACGGCGUUCGUAUUCGGAGGACAUCCCAAGGAUUUUGUAUUUUUUAGCUCACUUUUAUAAACAUAAAUCUCAGGGGAGCUAAACUAUUCAGAUCAAAACUUGUCCGGAUUUAAAAUCCAUACCCUGUAUGUACUUGAUAAUUUUGACAUUAUAUCUGUAUAUACAUAACUAACUGCCUAAUUAAAAACCUAUACAACAUAAUUCACUCAAAUAAUAUGUCAUAUAAAUAAAUUUAUGUAUGUAUCAUUAAACAUU